CAGCAGCCGCGGUAAUACCGGCGGCCCGAGUGGUGGCCGCUAUUAUUGGGCUUAAAGCGUCCGUAGCCGGGUUGGGAAGUCCUCCGGGAAAUCUGGCCGCUUAACGGUCAGAAUGCCGGAGGAUACUCCCAGCCUAGGGAGCGGGAGAGGCCGAGGGUAUUCCCGGAGUAGGGGUGAAAUCCUAUAAUCCCGGGAGGACCACCUGUGGCGAAGGCGCUCGGCUGGAACGCGUCCGACGGUGAGGGACGAAGGCCAGGGGAGCAAACCGGAUUAGAUACCUGGGUAGUCCUGGCUGUAAACGAUGCGGACUUUGUGUCGGACAAGCUAUGAGCUUGUCCGGUGCCGGAGGGAAACCGUUAAGUCCGCCGCCUGGGGAGUACGGCCGCAAGGCUGAAACUUAAAGGAAUUGGCGGG
rnacentral:rRNA from 1 species